rnacentral:rRNA from 1 species
UACGUAGGGUGCGAGCGUUAAUCGGAAUUACUGGGCGUAAAGCGUGCGCAGGCGGUGAUGUAAGACAGAUGUGAAAUCCCCGGGCUCAACCUGGGACCAGCAUUUGUGACUGCAUCGCUAGGGUACGGCAGAGGGGGAUGGAAUUCCGCGUGUAGCAGUGAAAUGCGUAGAUAUGCGGCGGAACACCGAUGGCGAAGGCAAUCCCAUGGGCCUGUACUGACGCUCAUGCACGAAAGCGUGGGGAGCAAACAGG